GGACAGGUGGCCGAGUGGUUUAAGGCGCACGCUUGGAAAGCGUGUGUAGGGGAAACUCUACCGAGGGUUCGAAUCCCUCUCUGUCCGCCA
rnacentral:tRNA from 2 species